CGUCGACGAUGAUGUUGAUGAUGAUGAUGAUGGUGAAGAUCAUGAUCAUGAUCAUCAUCAUCAUCAUCAUCAUCAUCAUCAUCAUCAACU
rnacentral:pre_miRNA from 1 species